rnacentral:lncRNA from 1 species
AUAUGCUAGUAACCAUGCUAGAAUAACAGCCACAGUCUGCUAUGACCUGAAUUGAACCAGAAAAUGCAGAGUGAAGGCAGGGGGAACACGGCUCGGGGUCCUCUCUGGUCAGGCCUGGAGCCAGCGCUUGUAAACUGUGGACUAUCACCCACUGUUGAGAGGCCUCCUUUCGGCAGACUUCAGCACAGGGAUGUGGACUUGUUUCUAUGAAAGCCUGGAAUUCCUGUAGGGGUAGUGCCGUAAAACCGGAUCUUUACCUUCCUUAUUUAAAGGACUUUUUUGCGCAUAGACUGCCUGUCCUGGCCUCUCUCCCACUCUGGAAAGGAAGGGCUGAGAGAGAAAAACACACUGGAGAUGCUGUUUUGGAUGGAAACACACUCGCUGCCUGUUUCCCUGUGUGCCCAUGGUUCUUCUAGGUGCUGGGAAUAGACGAGUGAGAUGCAGACAAGGCCCCAGUCCUCACGGCACUUAUGUGCUAUGAGGAAACAAGGAAUGCACAUACCCCAUCGAGGAGGUGUCAGUCCAUCUUCAUGAGCCAAAAGGUGACAUGUGCCAAGGAAACAGGAAUAGAGCCUUGAGUGAAGCAUCAGACCAGUACAGCCGACCUGGUGGGCCUUGGUGCAAAGGGAAUGGAGCAAAGACUGGGAGGUAAUGAGGGGAUUCCCCAGGUGCUCCCCUGGGAGAAGAGAAUUCUGCCCACAGGCCCUGCCACCAGCGAGGGCCUUGCGUGCCGUGGAGUGGGAGGAACCACAAGAUGGUCACUGAGUGGCUACGGAGACACAAACUUGGAGGAAAGCACCCUGGCCUUGCCAACAGUGGAGAGUGCCCCAGGGCCAACCCCGAUGAAUCUCUGCCAGAUGAGGUGCAGAAGGGGAUGGGGCAAAGGAAGCAGAUACUCCCCCACGUGACUUCCCCACAGGAGCCACUUAACCAGAGGAAGACAGUGAUAUGGUUUGGCUGUGUCCCACCCAAAUCUCAUCUUGAACUGUAGUUCUCGUAAUCCCCAUGUGCUGUGGGAGCAACACGGUGGGAGGUAAUUGAAUCACGGGGGUGGUUACCUCCAUGCUGUUCUGGUGAUAGUGAGUGAGUUCUCACGAGAUCUGAUGGUUUUAUAAGGGACUUUUCCCCUUUUGCUCAGCACUUUUCCUUGCUGCCGCUAUGUGAAGAAGGAUGUGUUUGCUUCCCCUUCCUCCAUGAUUAUAAGUUUCCUGAGGCCUGCCCAGCCCUGCAGAACUGUGAGUCAGUUAAACUUUCUUUAUAAAUUACCCAGUCUCAGAUAUGUCUUUACUGGCAAUGUGAGAACGGACUAAUACAGAUGGGCAGAGAAAGGUCUCCGUGCCAGCAUCUAACCUGGUGAUCAAGGAUGGAAAGAAGAGUGGGGCCACACCAUGUAGAGACUCCUCUGAGCCAAUUUCACUUGAGGGCCUUGGCCUACAAGCCAAACAAACAAACAAACACAUAAACAAACAGGGGGGCUAUGGCUGCCAAAAUACACAGAGGCACAGCCCCCAGGUGGCCCCCAGCUUCCUUGCCCCCACAUCCUGAACACCCCUCUGCACAGUAACAAGCUGGCAGAGAAAAACUACAAGCAAUUUAAAAUUUCUUCCCUUUCCUCUAUCUGACCUUCAGAGAACUAGUCUGAGAUCUACGACAACUUCAGAAUCCAUCUCUGCCCAACCCUGGACAGGCACAGACUUCCCUCUGCAAGAAUAUAAAAGCAAGCACAUAAACCACAACCAACUAGGCAUCUGAAUCUAUUAAUUAAUUCAACAUCCAUUGAAUAAGUCAAAAGAGGAAGAUAAUAUGAUCAAUUAAUAAAUGCCAAAGAGCUCCUUGGCUAAAAUCCAACCUAUCUUAAUUAAUUUCACCUACACAUGCACUAAACAAACAAUCCAUGUGAUAUGAGAUUCUGUUGCAGUUCUCUAAUGUGGUUCUUAAAAAAUCUCAAAACAAAAAUCAUUGUCAUGCUUCACUGUGACACAAUAAAGCCAUUCAAAUUAAAGUCAAGACAAUGAAAAGGAUGCCUAUGUUCACUGUUGUUAUUUAAUAUGGUUUUGGAAAUACCAGCCAAUGCAAUUAGAUAAGAGAUCAUUUGAAGAUGGCAUUAGUGUGUGUCUAGAAACACAAAGUAAAUCAAGCGAAAACAUUAUUAGAAUCAAUAGGAGAAUUCAGUUAGGUGGUCUUAAAAUUACUAUGCAAAAUCAAUAGCUUUCCUUUAUCUGAAAAAAUAAACAUUUAGAAAGUGUAACAGAAGGAGCAUACCCAUCUGAAUGGCAAUAACAUUUGAAUAGCCAGUAAUAAACUUUAUAAAACAACUGCAGGACCAAUGUGAGGGAAAUAUUGUAUUCUGCUGAGAGACAUAAACCCUAUGAGGAGUAUUUUCUGUAAGUAAAUGAGAUAACUUCUUGUCCUCGGAAGGGGAGGCUCAACUGUGUAAAGAAAUAAAUUACCCUAAAUUAGACUAUAUAUUUAGUCUAUGGUCUAAAUAUAGGCCUGUGCUGCCCGGUUAUUAAAAUGUUGAGUUAUUCCAGAAAGUCAGAGCACUUUGCACCGGAGCAUGAAUAGAUAGGAUUGUUGAGCUGAAUACACGGGACAGAAAUGACUGAAAUACCUGUGGGACGCCAGUGCUCUCCGCAUAAUGAAGCUGACAUGUUAAGGCAAAGGGGAAGUCCUGGAAAACUGACAAGUUUCAGUCUUUGGGGGGAAAGCAAGUUACAGAGCAGUAUGUAGAGUGUGAUACCGUUGUGUACAGAGAACAGCUGCAGAUUAACAUUUUUCUAGGAGAAUAGAUGGGAAAAUGAUGAUAAUUAUUAAAUCUUUGCUGGGGAGAUUGGGAGCGGGAAGGAGUUUUCACUUUACUAAGUUUGGGGGAAAUGACUUCAGUGUUUUGAAAACAAAGUGAUAUACAUCUUCAUAUAGAUGAUCCAAACGAUUACUUUAAAAAAAUAAAAUUGGUUGAGCAUAAUUUUAGAAAUGUCAUGAUAGAUAGACCAAUAUACUUACAGAUGGAUAGAAGUAAUUUUAUAAAAACUGGAUCAUAUGAUAAGUAUUUGUCAAAAAUGCAUCAAAUUUAAUUUUAAGGAACUGCUGUAUUUCAAACAAAUGCUUCUUUGCUCCCUCACUAUGAGAAAACCAAUUGGAUUCUAAAAGACCCCUAGAACAUUAGAAAGGCGGGGGGAAGUAGAAUAAACAAUGAAUAGGUUAGAAUGACAGCACUGUUUCAGUUGCAUGUUGGAACUUGUCACAGUGCCUGUUAAUUUGCUGCUACGAAAGAUGAUGAAAUGGGUGCACCCACCCUCCAUCCCCCUGGGUCUCACCUACCCACCAGGUUUUAGUAGCUGCAUUAUUACUGGUUCAUUUUAAAGUUGUAUAAUCUCUACGAUGCGUUCUGCAGCAAAAAUUCCCAGAACAGCCUCGUCCUGACUCUCCGUUAAAUAUAUGCGGUGUUUGCCAAGAGUUAAUAUUUCAUGACUUUCCCGUUCUUGAGUUGCUUAUUUGGAUUCAUCAUUUGGUUAGCAGGGCUUUGCACCAGCAGCUCAUGGAUGCUGCAGCUUCUAAGUCUACUUGUGUUUGAGAGUGUCUACAUGUUGCCUUUGCUUUUGGAGAGCGAUGUGAUUGCAUGAAAAGAAUUGGUAAUGCUUUCCUUUUCCUUGACAAACUUGUAGGCCUCCAGCCAUGGAAGUGUUCUAGUGGGGAAGGAGGAAGCCACCAUGAAUAUCUCCCUUAGAAGAACACUACUGUGGCCAGGGACACUUAUGCAAUUCCCAUAAGGUUCUUUGUUGUUAUAUGAACUGCAUUUUACACACACACACACACACACACACACACACACACACACACAAACAACUGCCUAGCAGCACAUUGUAAAGGCUGUAUAAUGUGACUAUUAUCAUCCUUGUUUUCUUUAUUCCUGAAAUCUAAUUAAAUAACUUCAGUGGGUUAUGUCUGUUGAUCUCUCAGCAUUGACUUUUCCUGAAACAUGAUGUCUAUUUCAUAUACAGAUUCAGGGCUAUUUUUAUGUCAGGUAAGCUUUAAGAAAAAAUCUUUGAAUGUUUUAACGUGUGUUCUAUUCUUUUAUUAUAAUUAUCCCUGUUCUUGUCUGUUUUCAUUUUGUACAAAUCUUCAAGCCUAUCUACCAUGUCCUUGGCAGUAUCCUCUUCAGUGGUUAUUCUUUUUUGUUCUAGUAUGUUUUACAUUUCUUCUAGUAUGACUUUUAAUUUAUUUUAAUUACUUUGUUAAUUUGAAGGAAUUAUGCAUAUAAUAAAUGCACAUAAUAAAAACAAAUUCAAUUAAUUCCAAGGUAUAUACAGAAAAAGUUAAGUUUCUCUCUCAUUGUAGACACCCAGAUCCUCAGUCUGUCAUUUCCAGAUUAAGUGUAUUCUUCCAGAAUGUUCUUCACAAAUGGCAGUAUCAUCUACACAAGAAGAAGCAUAACAGUUGGAAACUUUUUUUCAUGUCAUUACUUAUAAUUUAUUGUUUUUCACGGUUGCAUAGUUUUUUGGAUACAAAUACUUUAGUUAUGAACAUGUAGUUUUUUUCACUU